AUAAACCUGACCUAUUGACAGUGCUUUCCUUACAACUCUUCAGCUGGGUCUUCAGAACACAAGCCACCAUUGAGCACGUGAAAUUGCUGUGAAGACAAAAGGGGCGACAGAAGUUUGUAGGUCAGGCAUAGAGAAAGGGCCCAUGCAUAUAACAGAUGCUGCUUAAGAAGUCUCCUGAGAAUCCCCCCAUGCUCACAGCCAUCAGAAAGCCAGGCCCACCCAGCCUAACCAGCCUGGGGAUGCCUGACAUCUCACCUCUAGCUCCAUGACUGCAUCCCUGAAAACCGGAGGCACCUAAAUUUCUGUUUGACAAUUGGGUAUGAUCAACAAUAAAGGAUAUUUUCAGAGACCUCUUCUAACACGCACACUGUAAACUCUGUGUCCUGUGCUGAAAUAACUGCUGUGCUUCAUCUCCAUCUAAAUAAAUAUUAAUAAGGAAGAGUCUCCUCUUAGGAAUAACAAGGGUGGGACAACAAAAAGACCCUCCUGUAUGAUCUUGGAGUCAUACAGGAGGGUCUGUAUGAGGUCAUUCUGAAGUUUUCAGGUUGGUGUAACUUCUUCAUUUUCUUCAUAAUUGCUGGGAAACUGCUUGUACACUGGCCUCAGAGACAGGGAGCACUGGGAAAGCUUAGCAGCUUAUUAUUCCAUGAAAUAAACUUUCAAAGGAAGUUUGAAUGUAUAAUGAACUGUGAACAUGUACAGGGAUUUCUGCCCUUUCCUCAUUUUCCUUGUGAAUUCCCAGCAUUGUGUGUUUUAAAUGCAAAAUAUAGGCUCAAGACAAAUGCAGAUGCUAAACCCUGCAGGUACAAUCUGUGAUCCCUUAUAAUAAGGCCAUAUUCCUAAACUGGGUCUACAUAGCACAAAAUUAUUUCUGCAGUAGGGUGUCCUAUGACACAAGCUCUGGAAUAUGCUAUUCUUUUAAACUCCCAUUUUCUUGCUUUUAUUGUCUUGGGUUGACAUGUCCUGAAACUGAAAUACAGGAGAACAGACAUUAAAUAUAUAUGUACAUAUUAAUAAAUAAAAUUGGGGGACAGAAGCACACCUGAAAACAAAAGAACUUCAGGAAAGUAGCCUGAACAGUAACUUCUCAACCAAGACCGUAAGGCAUAUACCAGCUUCCUCCAACCAGAUCAGAGGUGGAUUAAUUUUAAAAAUUGAAAUUCAUCUUCAGCUGACUUCAAGCUCCCAUCCACAGUGAAAAAGGAUUAUAAGCCAUUGGAGGAGAAGGUAAGGAAGAUUUUGAAUAAACUAAUUAAUUCACAACAGCUUUCAGCAGUAGGGAUUUUAUUGAAAAAUAUGCUUGCUCAACCUAGCAGAGGCACUGCAAACAGUUUGCCUGUGUGCAGGAUCAGGUCGCAUAUGCACCGGCAUAACUCUUUUGGAGAAUUGCCUUGCAGAGAUGUCCUGUAAGAAGUUUGUCUGCAUGGCCCUGAGGAGGAACCUCUCCAUUCCUGUGUAUUCCUGGACAUUUUACAUUUUGGAAAAUUUCCCUUGACUGGAGUGGGAUACAAACUACUUCGUCCCCCUCAAAAAACACAGAGGCUUAGCUAAAGCAUUAAACUCCAGUACUGAGGCUGAAGCCUGCUUAAAAGCCACGUCUGCAGUUACAGGUUGAGGUGAGAGAUAAAACACAAGCAGUUUGGUGAUUAGCCGACAUUCUAUG